GACGAACGCUGGCGGCGUGCCUAAUACAUGCAAGUAGAACGCUGAAGAGAGGAGCUUGCUCUUCUUGGAUGAGUUGCGAACGGGUGAGUAACGCGUAGGUAACCUGCCUGGUAGCGGGGGAUAACUAUUGGAAACGAUAGCUAAUACCGCAUAAAAUGGAUUAUCGCAUGAUAAUCCAUUGAAAGGUGCAAAUGCAUCACUACCAGAUGGACCUGCGUUGUAUUAGCUAGUUGGUGGGGUAACGGCUCACCAAGGCGACGAUACAUAGCCGACCUGAGAGGGUGAUCGGCCACACUGGGACUGAGACACGGCCCAGACUCCUACGGGAGGCAGCAGUAGGGAAUCUUCGGCAAUGGACGGAAGUCUGACCGAGCAACGCCGCGUGAGUGAAGAAGGUUUUCGGAUCGUAAAGCUCUGUUGUAAGAGAAGAGCGAGUGUGAGAGUGGAAAGUUCACACUGUGACGGUAUCUUACCAGAAAGGGACGGCUAACUACGUG
rnacentral:rRNA from 1 species